GACGAACGCUGGCGGCGUGCUUAACACAUGCAAGUCGAGCGGGAACCUCGGCAGGGGGUAACCCUUCCGAGGGGAGAGCGGCGAACGGGUGAGUAACACGUGGGCAACCUGCCCCGGACACCGGGAUAACCCAGGGAAACCUGAGCUAAUACCGGAUACUCCGGCACGAUCGCAUGGUCGUGCCGGGAAAGCUCCGACGGUCCGGGAUGGGCCCGCGGCCUAUCAGCUUGUUGGUGAGGUAACGGCCCACCAAGGCGACGACGGGUAGCUGGUCUGAGAGGACGGCCAGCCACACUGGGGACUGAGACACGGCCCAGACUCCUACGGGAGGCAGCAGUGGGGAAUCUUGCGCUAAUGCGCGAAAGCGUGACGCAGCGACGCCGCGUGGGGAUGAAGGCCCUCGGGUUGUAAACCCCUUUCGCCAGGGAAGAAGGGAAACUGACGGUACCUGGAGAAGAAGUCCCGGCUAACUACGUGCCAGCAGCAGCCGCGGU
rnacentral:rRNA from 1 species